ACGCUCGACACCUACUGGAGGCAGCAGUGGGGGAUAUUGCACAAUGGGGGAAACCCUGAUGCAGCGACGCCGCGUGAGCGAAGAAGUAUUUCGGUAUGUAAAGCUCUAUCAGCAGGGAAGAUCAUGACGGUACCUGACUAAGAAGCUCCGGCUAAAUACGUGCCAGCAGCCGUGGUAAUCUGAGCGGGCUGGCAAGGC
rnacentral:rRNA from 1 species